rnacentral:rRNA from 1 species
GCGAAGUUGUAAAAUCUCUUCCAAGAAAAGCCCUGACAUAGCCCGUACCGUAAACCGACACAGGUAGUCGAGGAGAGUAUCCUAAGGUGCUCGAGUGAUCCGUGGUUAAGGAACUAGGCAAAUUAGCCCUGUAACUUCGGGAGAAAGGGCCCCCUCUUCGGAGGGGCGCAGUGAAAUGGCCCAGGCGACUGUUUAGCAAAAACACAGGACUAUGCUAAGUUGAAAGACGCAGUAUAUGGUCUGACACCUGCCCGGUGCUGGAAGGUUAAGUGGAGAUGUCAUCUUCGGAGAAGCAUUGAAAUGAAG